GAUGAAGAACGUAUCGAAAUGCGAUAAGUAAUGUGAAUUGCAGAAUUCAGUGAAUCAUCGAAUCUUUGAACGCACAUUGCGCCCCUUGGUAUUCCGAGGGGCAUGCCUGUUCGAGCGUCAUUAUAACCCCUCAAGCUUAGCUUGGUGUUGGGGCCUGCUGUAAUAGAGCAGCCCUUAAAAUCAGUGGCGGUGCCAUUAGGCUCUAAGCGUAGUAAUUCUUCUCGCUAUAGGGUUCUGGUGGAUGCUUGCCAUUAACCUCUAAUUUUCUAUGGUUGACCUCGGAUCAGGUAGGGAUACCCGCUGAACUUAAGCAUAUCAAUAAGCGGAGGA
rnacentral:misc_RNA from 1 species